UACGGGGGGUGCGAGCGUUGUCCGGAAUCACUGGGCGUAAAGGGCGCGUAGGUGGUUUGAUAAGGGUGUGGUGAAAGUCCGGGGCUCAACCCCGGAUCUGCCGUGCCGACUGUCAAACUCGAGGACUGUAGAGGCAGACGGAAUUCCGGGUGUAGCGGUGGAAUGCGUAGAGAUCCGGAGGAAGACCGGUGGCGAAGGCGGUCUGCUGG
rnacentral:rRNA from 1 species